rnacentral:rRNA from 1 species
CCUACGGGUGGCAGCAGUGGGGAAUAUUGCACAAUGGGGGAAACCCUGAUGCAGCAACGCCGCGUGGGUGAUGAAGUUUUUCGGUUUGUAAAGCCCUAUUAGCAGGGAAGAGAAUGAGGGUACCUGACUAAGCAGCUCUUGCUAAUACCGAGCCAGAAGCCGCGGUAAUACGUAGGGGGCACGCGUUAGCCGGAUUUACUGGGGGAAACGGGAGCGUAGGCGGUUGUGCAAGUCUGAUGUGAAGGCCCUCGGUUCAACUGCGGAAGGGCAUUGGCAACUGGAUAACUUGAGUGCAGGAGAGGUAAGUGGAAUUCCAGGUGUAGCGGUGAAAUGCGUAGAGAUCUGGAGGAACACCAGCGGCGAAGGCGGCUUACUGGACUGUAACUGACGUUGAGGCGCGAAAGCGUGGGGAGCAAACAGGAUUAGAUACCCGGGUAGUC